AUUGAACGCUGGCGGCAGGCUUAACACAUGCAAGUCGAGCGAGCGGCGGACGGGUGAGUAAUGUCUGGGAAACUGCCUGAUGGAGGGGGAUAACUACUGGAAACGGUAGCUAAUACCGCAUACCAUCAGAUGUGCCCAGAUGGGAUUAGCUAGUAGGUUGGGUAAUGGCUCACCUGGGCGACGAUCCCUAGCUGGUCUGAGAGGAUGACCGGCCAAACGGGAACUGAGAAACGGUCAGGCUUCCUAGGGGGGGCAGCAGUGGGGAAGAUGGCACAAUGGGGGCAAGCCUGAGGCAGCCAUGCCGGGGGAGUGAAGAAGGCCUUCGGGUGGUAAAGCACUUUCAGCGAGGAGGCGUUACUCGCAGAAGAAGCACCGGCUAACCCCGUGCCAGCAGCCGCGGUAAUU
rnacentral:rRNA from 1 species